rnacentral:rRNA from 1 species
CCUACGGUGGCUGCAGUGGGGAAUAUUGCACAAUGGGCGCAAGCCUGAUGCAGCCAUGCCGCGUGUGUGCAGAAGGCCUUCGGGUUGUAAAGCACUUUCAGCGGGGAGGAAGGCGGUGAGGUUAAUAACCUCAUCGAUUGACGUUACCCGCAGAAGAAGCACCGGCUAACUCCGUGCCAGCAGCCGCGGUAAUACGGAGGGUGCAAGCGUUAAUCGGAAUUACUGGGCGUAAAGCGCACGCAGGCGGUCUGUCAAGUCGGAUGUGAAAUCCCCGGGCUCAACCUGGGAACUGCAUUCGAAACUGGCAGGCUAGAGUCUUGUAGAGGGGGGUAGAAUUCCAGGUGUAGCGGUGAAAUGCGUAGAGAUCUGGAGGAAUACCGGUGGCGAAGGCGGCCCCCUGGACAAAGACUGACGCUCAGGUGCGAAAGCGUGGGGAGCAAACAGGAUUAGAUACCCCAGUAGUC